UCUAUAUAAAGGACCACUAUUUUCAUUUGUCUGCAUACACACACAAACCCAAAUCAAACACAGAGAAUAGUGGCUUCUCUUCUCCUUCAAUUUUCUAACACCUGCUAAACACCCCCUACUUCUCGGUCAUCUUCACAAAACAACACACAUACAUACUGUCAAUCUCUCUCCCCUCUCUCGAAUACACAUUCAGGCAACAAGUAGACACCUCCACUCCCUCUAUUUCAAGUUCAGCAAACACAGGAGCCGACAAGCAACGGCGGCCGGCGAGCUUCUCCGGCGUCCCAAUUCCCGGCGACACCCCCCCCCCUCCGAUUUCUGAUCGACGACAGCCACCACCAGAUGGUGGUGGCAUAUGGCGGCGACGGUACGGAAAGAGAGAGAGAGACUGAGAGAGAAGAGACAGAAAGGGGCGAUGAGGGAGAGAGAGAGAAGCACCGAGAGAGAGAAAGAGACUGAAAGAGAGCGGUCCGAUUGAUUAUCCGGCGGUCCGAUGGUCGGCGUGAUUUUUCGACGGGUUUCAAACUCCGGUCAGGUUCGAGGGUUCAGAUUCACUCCGGUCGGUUCUGUUAUCCGGAGGUCGAAUCAAUUACCCGAAGGUCUUCGUAUUUGUCCGACAAAUUCUCCGGUUUGAAGACGGUUCAGCUUCGAGUCCCUCGGUUUCGGGUUUCCGAUUCAGUUUCGGUUUCGGUUGACUCGGUCAACCGAGUCAACUCAGACGACUCGGGUCAGGCGGUUCGGGUCGGAUGAUUCGAAGCAGCUUAUGAAGCGGAUAGGGUCGACUCAGUCAAACUGAGUCAACCCAGUCAACUCAGCAAGUCAACUCGGUCAACCCGGUUGACUCGUCAACAACUCGACGCAAGGAUUGGUAAAGGUUUUACGGCGCGAUUUAUUUCGUUAUUUUUAUAAUUUAUGUCACGUGAAAACGAGCUCGAACCUACAGGACGAUGAGUUAUUCGUAAUAUUAACUUGGUUUUAGUUAUUACUUCGUUU